rnacentral:rRNA from 1 species
UACGAAGGGGGCUAGCGUUGUUCGGAAUCACUGGGCGUAAAGGGCGCGUAGGUGGCCCGGCAAGCGUGCGGUGAAAGCUCGGGGCUCAACCCCGAGUCGGCCGUGCGAACUGCUGGGCUCGAGCACUGUAGAGGCAGGCGGAAUUCCGGGUGUAGCGGUGGAAUGCGUAGAGAUCCGGAAGAACACCGGUGGCGAAGGCGGCCUGCUGGGCAGUGGCUGACACUGAGGCGCGACAGCGUGGGGAGCAAACAGG